AGCUUUGCUAAUAUGGUUGCUGUAUCUCCCUGGGUCGGUUCCACCUCCUCCCCACUGCGCGGCGGGGUCCGGGAAGGAGUGCGGCCUUCCCCGUGCCAUUUUGUGCCUCUGCAGGGGCCCCCCUUACUUCCCAGCAUCAGGUCGAGGACCGAGGCUGCAGACUCCGUACCUUUUUUGGAGCUCUUCUUGGGGUUUCGUUUCUCCAUCCUAGGAGGGUGUUCAGCUUCCGAAAAAGUGCUGUAAGAAGCUAUUUAACAGCGUCGUCGGAGCAGAGCUUCACCCCGCCACGUCUAGCCCGCUCCGAGGUUAGGCCACGCCCCCCAGUACUCCUACCUUUGAUGCUCGCAUUCAAGACUUCUCCAGGGCUGCACCUUUUCUGUGGAACUCCCUUCCCUUCUCCGUUAGACUUUCACCCAGUCUCCAUUUCUUUAAAAAAAAAAUCAUUGAAAACUCACGUCUUCAGGAAAGCUCAUCAAUUAAACUGUUAACAGCUUUUCAUCCCUGUACCCUGAUUCCUCUCCUGCAACUGUCAAAAAUAUCCUAGUAAGUCAUUAGUGGAUACGUUUCUAGCAAUCUUCUUUGAUUCCCCUACCUUUACUUUUUGUGUCACUGUACCCUACCCCACACAAUCUAGCAUGUAAGCUCAGUGAGCAGGGCCCUCAACCUCUCUGUUCCUGUGCGUCCAACUUAUCUGGUUACAAUUACGUCUGUUAGUCUACCCCUUGUACAGCUCUACGGAACUUGCUGGUGCUAUACAUAAAUGAUAAAAUAUUAAUAAUACAUUUAAAAGAAUUAUAUAAAUUUAGCCUGGAG